AUUGAACGCUGGCGGCAGGCUUAACACAUGCAAGUCGAGCGGAGCGAGGGUGCUUGCACCUUAGCUUAGCGGCGGACGGGUGAGUAAUGCUUAGGAAUCUGCCUAUUAGUGGGGGACAACAUUCCGAAAGGAAUGCUAAUACCGCAUACGCCCUACGGGGGAAAGCAGGGGAUCUUCGGACCUUGCGCUAAUAGAUGAGCCUAAGUCGGAUUAGCUAGUUGGUGGGGUAAAGGCCUACCAAGGCGACGAUCUGUAGCGGGUCUGAGAGGAUGAUCCGCCACACUGGGACUGAGACACGGCCCAGACUCCUGCGGGAGGCAGCAGUGGGGAAUAUUGGACAAUGGGCGGAAGCCUGAUCCAGCCAUGCCGCGUGUGUGAAGAAGGCCUUUUGGUUGUAAAGCACUUUAAGCGAGGAGGAGGCUCUUAAGGUUAAUACCCUUGAUGAGUGGACGUUACUCGCAGAAUAAGCACCGGCUAACUCUGUGCCAGCCGCCGCGGUAAUAC
rnacentral:rRNA from 1 species